rnacentral:rRNA from 1 species
AUUGAACGCUGGCGGCAGGCUUAACACAUGCAAGUCGAGCGGAGAUGAGGUGCUUGCACCUUAUCUUAGCGGCGGACGGGUGAGUAAUGCUUAGGAAUCUGCCUAUUAGUGGGGGACAACAUUCCGAAAGGAAUGCUAACACCGCAUACGUCCUACGGGAGAAAGCAGGGGAUCUUCGGACCUUGCGCUAAUAGAUGAGCCUACGUCGGAUUAGCUAGUUGGUGGGGUAAAGGCCUACCAAGGCGACGAUCUGUAGCGGGUCUGAGAGGAUGAUCCGCCACACUGGGACUGAGACACGGCCCAGACUCCUACGGGAGGCAGCAGUGGGGAAUAUUGGACAAUGGGGGGAACCCUGAUCCAGCCAUGCCGCGUGUGUGAAGAAGGCCUUAUGGUUGUAAAGCACAUUAAGCGAGGAGGAGGCUACUAGUACUAAUACUACUGGAUAGUGGACGUUACUCGCAGAAUAAGCACCGGCUAACUCUGUGCCAGCCGCCGCAGUAACAC